rnacentral:tRNA from 1 species
AGGGGCGUAGCCAAGCGGUAAGGCAGCAGGUUUUGAUCCUGCCAUGCGUUGGUUCGAGUCCAGCCGCCCCUG